rnacentral:lncRNA from 10 species
GCAACUGUAUUUUUAAUGGCCAGAGAUGAGACACAGUCCAGUGCCCAUCCGCUGGGGAAUGGACGAAUGUAUCGUGGGACACCUGCAUGAGAAAUUCACUCAGCAAAUGAGAAAGAACAGCUGACAGCAAAACGGCACAGGUGAACCUGGAAGCAAGAUGGGAAAAAUCAUCACACAAACCCUGUUGAGAGAAAUGAGAACUUUACUGAGGAGCCUUGGCAUCGUCACGCGAAGCUCUGCACUGAGGAUCACUCCUUCCUGGGCUGUG